CACAGGAUUAUAUGCAACUGGAACAAUAAGACGACUGAGAAUUCUCCUUGAGGCACUCGAGGAAGUCGCUCACUUCAGAAGUCAGCUCGGGGAGUCAGGUGCCAAUGGAAAGGACUCAAAUGUGGGGCCAAACAAGUAAUGGAUACAAGUGAAUCACGUAUCAGAGACAGACAUCCUGCAAGCGGCUAGUGAUCAGUCUUGUGGCAGCAUCAACCCAUGCUCACUGAGUGAAGUCACUUUCUUCUAUGACUGGUGAAAGUUUCCAGAAGGAUUGAAUUGGUGAUCAAGCCAUUACCUGAGGCAUGAGGGCCAUACGUGGAGAGAUAAGUAAAACCACGUAGAUCACUUGAUAAUAUAAUGUGGGAGUCAAGAAUGCAUGACAAGGUCUUGAGAUACUAAUGUAAGUGUGCAAAAGUGAAUGUUACUUCAGUGGUAACAAAUAUGAGACAGUAAAAAACAUGCACUGAAAUACGGGUCUCAGACGUGUACACCUACUUGACAAAAGAAUUAGUGUGGCUUGGAAGAUCACAAAAAUAUAAUUUAAAUGAUAAGACACUGACACAAAAUCCAUAGAGAAGCUGAAUUUAAAACUAUUAAAAUAAUAUUAGUGAAAGGGACGUAAAAAGAAUUGCAAUCAAAAUAAUAUGUGAUUGCUUAUUAUGUCAGAAAGUUUCAGAAAGGAAAGGAUGAAGGACUCUGGGAGGAUUAAUAGUGGACUGAGUGAAAGGCCCCUUUGGAUGACAUACAGAAACCCCAUCUUGAGCAUUUGUAUGCUGCAUGUACUCCAGUGUUUAAACCAGGAGGUGGAAUUGUAAUGUAUUAGGACAGUUAGUGUAUGUGAAAGAAGGCUGAGCUAAGUCUCAGGUGGAGUAGGAGUCUGUGGCAAGAGAACCCCAGGAAAAAUAAAAAGUGGGAAGCAUAAGUUGAAGGUAAAGCCUGAUGAACAUUAGAGCAGUUUUGUUUGAUUCCAUAUAUAUUGUACCUCAAAGAAGGUACCUGCGUAUUGGGAUAGUUAUCACUCAAUGGUACAAUUACUCAAAAAAUUGGCAAGGAAGGAAACAUAUUGGAGAAGUAUCCUCAAGAUGGAUACAGAUGAAGUGAGCUGGAGAAAUUUUGAGUCCAUGUCUGAUGUUAUUUUACUGUUAUUGUGUGAAGUGAUCUAUGGAUAGGGACCGUACAUCAGGUGUAGGGUAUAUAUCUAAGGGUUGGACCCCGAAGGCCAUUGUGAUCAUUAAUUUGAUGAUACACCCUAUUUUUGUAUUAUUUGUAUAGAUGAUAGCUAUUUUCAUUGUAGUUUUAAUCUUCUAGUGUAGGUUAUGUACUGUUAUUACACAUUCUCGGACGGCUGUCGCUGAUUCGCAUCUGCAUCUGCAAAUGUAACAUUUGCUGUCCAAUAUCAUCAGGGGUGAAUU